CUGUGGGCGGCGGCGCGCGAGCAGCAGCCUCAGCUGGCGGAGCGCAGCCAGGACAUUCGCCGCUGCGUUCGUGCGUUGCUAGCACUCUUCCCGCAGAACUGUCUGGACCCGGAGCUGUCAGCGACGCUUCGCGAGCUGCGCAGUGCGAGCGCAGAGCUGUGCGCAGCUUGUGGUGGGUCGACGGGCGCGCCGCUACAGCGCGUGCGGAGCGCGGCCUACGAGCUGGCCAAGGCCACCAAGCUGCUGCUCGCGCACUUUCCUUCCUAGCGACCGCCAUACCACUACACCACGGUGUAAGCGUCUCCCGUGGCGUAGUGACGUCGGUCGUUUGGAAACCGCGCGCGCUGUGACGUAGUGAUGUGGUAAUUUCGAUUCGACGUUUGAACUGUAGUGAACGCUUUUUUAAGGCCUAUUCAGACCUAAGCGGUAUUCGCUACCGUCUGCGGCAGAGGAAACCCAGUGGGUAUGCGGUAAUAAUACUGUUCAGACCUAAGCGGUGUUCGCUACCGUCUGCGGCAGAGAAAACCCAGUGGGUAUGCGGUAAUAAUACUGUUCAGACCUAAGCGGUAUUCGCUACCGUCUGCGGCAGAGAAAACCCAGUACUUGAUACUAAAUACCUGAACGAAACCCGCGCGGUAUGUACCUCUACCCACAGCGGCAGCGAAUAUCGCUCAGGUCGCUCUAGCCGCGAUACUUGAUACUAAAUACCUGAGCGAAACCCGCGCGGUAUGUACCUCUACCCACAGCGGCAGCGAAUAUCGCUCAGGUCGCUCUAGCCGCGAUACUUGAUACUAAAUACCUGAGUGAAACCCGCGCGGUAUGUACCUCUACCCACAGCGGCAGCGAAUAUCGCUCAGGUUUGAAUAGGCC